AUUGAACGCUGGCGGCAGGCUUAACACAUGCAAGUCGAGCGGAGAUGAGGUGCUUGCACCUUAUCUUAGCGGCGGACGGGUGAGUAAUGCUUAGGAAUCUGCCUAUUAGUGGGGGACAACAUUCCGAAAGGAAUGCUAAUACCGCAUACGUCCUACGGGAGAAAGCAGGGAAUCUUCGGACCUUGUGCUAAUAGAUGAGCCUAAGUCGGAUUAGCUAGUUGGUGGGGUAAAGGCCUACCAAGGCGACGAUCUGUAGCGGGUCUGAGAGGAUGAUCCGCCACACUGGGACUGAAACACGGCCCAGACUCCUACGGGAGGCAGCAGUGGGGAAUAUUGGACAAUGGGGGGAACCCUGAUCCAGCCAUGCCGCGUGUGUGAAGAAGGCCUUAUGGUUGUAAAGCACUUUAAGCGAGGAGGAGGCUACUUUAGUUAAUACCUAGAGAUAGUGGACGUUACUCGCAGAAUAAGCACCGGCUAACUCUGUGCCAGCAGCCGCAGUAA
rnacentral:rRNA from 1 species